ensembl:lincRNA 1700067G17Rik RIKEN cDNA 1700067G17 gene
GAGGCCAUUUUGUUCUAGUGACCCUGGAGGGCGAACUCCAUCUUUAACUCAGAAAACAUCUGUCUUUCUUCGUCUCCCUUUUGGUUUCGACCUCCUGAAGUGCACGAGGUCUCUCCCUCUCCGGGCUGCUCACACCUCUUCCCUUCCUUUCCCCUUCAUCUCUUUUUCAGACCAUUGGCUUCUAUCUCAGGAGCAGGACGUUUCUCAGGCUCCUGGUUUACUCAGCCAGCAGCGCUCCAUUUCUUCAGCAUCAGAUAUGGCAGCAGGCUCUGGUGCUUCACCGUCAAGAAACUAGAUCGAUUCUGACACAUGUGAUCUAAGUUCCUUCCUUUAAGCGCCUUCUGGACUCCGUGAAAUUUAAAGGCUAGGAAGGACUCCACAUGAAUCCUUCUGAGUCUGGCUUAUUUCAGCUAACAGGACAACCUCCAGUUCCAUCCAUGUGCAUGCAAAUUACAUCAUUUCACUCUUUACCAAUGAAGAGACCGUGUGUAUAUAUCCCUCUUUCCACUGUCGUCUGUCGGUUGAUGGAUGUCCAGGCUGAUUCCAUAUCUUGUCUGUAGUGAACGGUCUUGCAAUAAAGACGAGUGUACAGGUGUCUGCGG